AUUGAACGCUGGCGGCAGGCCUAACACAUGCAAGUCGAGCGGAGCGGCAGACGGGGGAGGAAUGCCUAGGAGUCUGCCUGGUAGUGGUGGGUAACGUACGGAAACUGGCGAUAAUACCUCAUACUGUCAGAUUAGGCUAGGGCGGAUUGGCGAGUUGGUGGGGUAACGGCCUACCAAGGCGACGAUCCGUAACUGGCCUGAGAGGAUGAUCAGUCACACUGGAACUGAGACACGGUCCAGACUCCUACGGGAGGCAGCAGUGGGGAAUAUUGGGCAAUGGGCGAAAGCCUGAUCCAGCCAUGCCGCGUGUGUGAAGAAGGUCUUCGGAUUGUAAAGCUCUGUAAGUUGGGAGGCGUUAUCAACAGAAUAAGCACCGGCUAACUUCGUGCCAGCAGCCGCGGUAAUUC
rnacentral:rRNA from 1 species